rnacentral:snRNA from 1 species
AGAUGUGAGGGUGAUCUGGCUGCAAAACCUGUCAUCUUAUUGGUCACCAGGCAGGUGUCCCCUUCCUCCUUCACCACUCUGGGUGUCCUACCUGAAGCAGCAGGCUGGGCUGAAGGAAACAACCUUUCGUGGAGGCAGAGGAGGGGUGGUACCUGGUCAAGGCUCUAGAGUAGCUAUGCGCACCUGCUGGAACCUCUGGCCUCACAGAAGAGCUCCAGCAAGCACCACUUCCAAAACAGGAAAAAAAUAAAAAAGAAAAAGAAGCCCUAACAUUU